rnacentral:rRNA from 1 species
ACGGGAUGCGCUCAAUCGCGUAUAGAACCUAUCCUUAUAUUGUGGGGAUAGUCCCAGAGAAAUUUGGAUUAAUACCCCAUAGUAUGCUGUAAUUGGCAUCAGUUUAGAUAUAUAAAGAUUUAUCGAUAUAAGAUGGCUAUGCGUUCUAUUAGCUAGUUGGUAAGGUAACGGCUCACCAAGGCGACGAUAGAUAGGGGUCCUGAGAGGGAGAUCCCCCACACUGGUACUGAGACACGGACCAGACUACCUACGGGAGGCAGCAGUGAGGAAUAUUGGACAAUGGAGGCAACUCUGAUCCAGCCAUGCCGCGUGCAGGAAGACUGCCCUAUGGGUUGUAAACUGCUUUUAUAGAGGAAGAAACCGCUCUACGUGUAGAGCUCUGACGGUACUCUACGAAUAAGGAUCGGCUAACUCCGUGCCAGCAGCCGCGGUAAUACGGAGGAUCCAAGCGUUAUCCGGAAUCAUUGGGUUUAAAGGGUCCGUAGGCGGGCUUAUAAGUCAGUGGUGAAAGUUUGCGGCUCAACCGUAAAAUUGCCAUUGAUACUGUAGGUCUUGAAUCAUUGUGAAGUGGUUAGAAUGUGUAGUGUAGCGGUGAAAUGCAUAGAUAUUACACAGAAUACCGAUUGCGAAGGCAGAUCACUAACAAUUGAUUGACGCUCAGGGACGAA